rnacentral:rRNA from 1 species
CACGUAGGGGGCGAGCGUUGUCCGGAUUUAUUGGGCGUAAAGAGCUCGUAGGCGGUUUGGCAAGUCGGGUGUGAAAUUUCGAGGCUCAACCUCGAAACGCCACUCGAUACUGCCAUGACUGGAGUCCGGUAGAGGAGUGCGGAAUUCCUGGUGUAGCGGUGAAAUGCGCAGAUAUCAGGAGGAACACCGACGGCGAAGGCAGCACUCUGGGCCGGUACUGACGCUGAGGAGCGAAAGCGUGGGGAGCGAACAGG